rnacentral:rRNA from 1 species
ACUCAAAGGAAUUGACGGGGACCCGCACAAGCGGUGGAGCAUGUGGUUUAAUUCGAUGCAACGCGAAGAACCUUACCUGGUCUUGACAUCCUGCGAUCUUUCUAGAGAUAGAUUGGUGCCUUCGGGAACGCAGUGACAGGUGCUGCACGGCUGUCGUCAGCUCGUGUUGUGAAAUGUUGGGUUAAGUCCCGCAACGAGCGCAACCCCUAUUGAUAGUUACCAUCAUUAAGUUGGGUACUCUAUUGAGAUUGCCGCUGACAAGGCAGAGGAAGGUGGGGACGACGUCAAGUCAUCAUGGCCUUUACGACCAGGGCUACACACGUGCUACAAUGGGUAUUACAGAGGGCUGCGAAGGAGCGAUCUGGAGCGAAACUCAAAAAGGUACUCUUAGUCCGGAUUGCAGUCUGCAACUCGACUGCAUGAAGUCGGAAUCGCUAGUAAUCGCAGGUCAGAAUACUGCGGUGAAUACGUUCUCGGGUCUUGUACACACCGCCCGUCACACCAUGGGAGUGGGUUGCUCCAGAAGUAGAUAGCUUAACGAAUGGGCGUUUACCACGGAGUGAUUCAUGACUGGGGUGAAGUCGUAACAAGGUAGCCGUA